AGAUUGAACGCUGGCGGCAUGCCUUACACAUGCAAGUCGAACGGCAGCACGGGGGCAACCCUGGUGGCGAGUGGCGAACGGGUGAGUAAUGCAUCGGAACGUGCCCAGUAGUGGGGGAUAACUAGUCGAAAGAUUAGCUAAUACCGCAUACGACCUACGGGUGAAAGCGGGGGAUUCGCAAGAACCUCGCGCUAUCGGAGCGGCCGAUGUCUGAUUAGCUAGUUGGCGGGGUAAAAGCCCACCAAGGCUUCGAUCAGUAGCUGGUCUGAGAGGAUGAUCAGCCACACUGGGACUGAGACACGGCCCAGACUCCGUACGGGAGCAGCAGUGGGGAAUCUUGCACGAAU
rnacentral:rRNA from 1 species